AUUGAACGCUGGCGGCAGGCCUAACACAUGCAAGUCGAACGGUAACAGAAAGCAGCUUGCUGCUUUGCUGACGAGUGGCGGACGGGUGAGUAAUGUCUGGGAAACUGCCUGAUGGAGGGGGAUAACUACUGGAAACGGUAGCUAAUACCGCAUAACGUCGCAAGACCAAAGAGGGGGACCUUCGGGCCUCUUGCCAUCGGAUGUGCCCAGAUGGGAUUAGCUAGUAGGUGGGGUAACGGCUCACCUAGGCGACGAUCCCUAGCUGGUCUGAGAGGAUGACCAGCCACACUGGAACUGAGACGCGGUCCAGACUCCUACGGGAGGCAGCAGUGGGGAAUAUUGCACAAUGGGCGCAAGCCUGAUGCAGCCAUGCCGCGUGUAUGAAGAAGGCCUUCGGAUUGUAAAGUACUUUCAGCGGGGAGGAAGGGAGUAAAGUUAAUACCUUUGCUCAUUGACGUUACCCGCAGAAGAAGCACCGGCUAACUCCGUG
rnacentral:rRNA from 1 species